AACACAAGGUCUUAAAAAGUCAUUGAGUCUCCCUUUCUGCCAUUGGGCAGGGCUGUCCUCAAAAUGAGUGUGAAAAAUAGCUGUGUCUCUCUAAAAGGCGGACACCCAAACCACUCCCUUCACCGAUGCAGAGCCAUGUUUGGCCCCAUGCACUUAAACCGUCACAUUAAACACACAACCAAACACUGUCUCUAACUGUCUCCAGGCCAGCUGGGUCACUGCCCCGGGCCACACAGACACCCUGCCCCCUGCCCACGCCAUCCCGAUGCCCUCUUCAAAUCGGCCUGGAAAAGGCCAGAGAGAACACACCAGCUGAUGGGUUUGCCAUUUUCAAGACUAGGGACCGGGGAAGCACGCCCGCUCCUUGUGCUCUACAGUCUAAUUUCAUCCUCAGCAAGCGAAAGGACCUUUUUUUUCUUUUUUUUUUCAAUAUAAUAAAAAAAGUUAUAUGACUUUAAUUAAAUGCACUUAUUAAAAGGGUGAAAUAUUUGGAGAGGCUGUUUUUGUGCUGGAGGCACAUUUUCCAGCGCGCUGUAGAGCGUCUGCAUCCGUCCGCUCUAGGCAAUUUUUAAUACACAAAUAAAUCCGCACCUGACGUGCUGACAGAUUAUUAUGCAGUGUGGCAGCCAACAAAAGUAAACACAGGGGCAAGUUUUAACCUCUUGCAGUCCUGGAGCUUUCCCUGCUGGGCCCGGCUCAGGUGUACAGGGCUGCUGGCAAAGCCUUCCCUUCCAGGGAGCCAUCUUCCUGUCCUGUCCCUGGAAACAGGGGGCUCCUCUCCCAUCAGGCUGCCCGGAGUGAGGCAUAUGCCAGGGGACAGGAGACACGACCGAGAGGAAGGCUGGCAACACGUGGUGCUCCUCAAGCGCCCUGCCUUCCUUCCAUCCUGUUUAUCCCAGGGCCAAGAGAUCUGCCAGCUUCGGCACAGCAGGCUGGUCAGCAAGCUGCCAGGACAGAGGCCAUUUCUCCUUCCAGCCGGCGGAGCUGGCGCUGCAGAUGGAGAACCCAGCUGGGUGUUUCUCCCAGCUCUGCCCAGAGUGCAAGUGUCAGGACGGUUACUACAGAGCUAAGGGGGCAUCAGGCAGUUUCCAUACAUGGGACCUUACAUGAUGGAGGUGCAAAGGAGCACAGGGGUACGGCAUUUACUGACACGCAUCGACAGAACUGCCCGUCUCCUGUUGCUCUGGUGAGAUGGAGCUUGCAGAGGGAUCCUCCUGGAAAGGCACCCUUUGCAGCCAUCAGAGAUUUCAGUGGCACCUGCCUGGCGUGGCUCCGUGGGCACACUCCUUGUGCCAUCCAUCUUUGAGCUGCUUUGUUCUGACCGGAGCGUUUAGGAACAAACACCAGGUUUCCUCGUCGGUAUAACGGAUCUUUGGCUGGGGAGUUGUGGGGGGCCAAGAGAGGAAGAUUCUUAGGGCAAAGGGGCGGGGGUUCUCCCAGUGGGUCAUUCACCCAUCUAUUACCCUAGUACCUGAGAGGAGAGCACAUAUUCUGCAUCCGUAAACAGCCAGAACAACAAGAACCAUUGUUAUUAUCCUUUACUGGCUGUUUACAACAAACCCUUCACAGCGCUAAGUGCUUUCAUACAUUAUCUCCAAAUACAUUUUAUCUCCAGACUCUCCAGGGUACAGCUCAUUAACCCAUUCAUUUUUACUACCAAUUUAACAGCUACUCAUGCUUCACCCGCAAUGUUAUUACGCUCAGUGUACGGCUCAGGAAAUUGAUGCUUAGUAAGUGUAGGUGAUUUUGCCUAAGAAAGUCGUAAGAAAAACACCCAAGUACAGAGAAGCAAUCACAUCAACCUGAAACAACACCCAGCCAGACAUAUUCCCAGUUAUGGCCUCAGAAGAAAUAGCCUUUUUUUUUUUUUUUUCGCUAUGGAUAAGAAUGAGGAUACACAAAUUGAUUUUUUAAACAAGAAGAAAAUGUGGGCACAAUGAAAUGUCACCAAAUAAACAAAGAAAAUUCCUGCAGUGGGUGGAAGGCUGAACCAGGUGCCCUUCAAGUAUCCUGCCAACAUAUCUCUUUGCAGAGCUGACUGUUCUGACUCUGGGACCCGCCCGAGCCCUAGGAUUUCCGGGAGAAGCUUUGCUUCAAGAUUCCUAGUUAGUAUCUUCACUUCCAUCCUGCCUCUUCAAGGCACUGGGACUGAAUGUCCCCUUCCAUGCCACCUGGGAACUUUGGGUUGUGACAAGAAAGAAAAGAUUUCUCUUUGUGAAAUCCAGCAAGAUCUGGUCCAGCAAGAUGCACACAGUCACACUGAAAGCGCUCGCCACUGGCAGCUAAGAGAUCCAGCUGGCCAUUAUCCAGCAGGCCAUCUUGCCUAUAGACAUUUGUCAAUCUCCUGAGCUUGGGGAAUGCCCCGGAGCCUGACACCUGCUACUGAAGCUGAAAAUGCCUAGUCCUUCUUUCCCCGGCCUCCCUCACGUGUAGGGCAAGACCAAUGAGCUGAGGUUCCCCUCAUCAGUCCCACCCAUGCCUGACUUUGAGCCUGAGGCAGUAAUACAAAGUAGCACAAAUCCUGAGAAACCCACUCCAGAGAGGAUGGGUAAGAGCAGCAGCAGGAGUGAUGAUGGGCUCGGAGAGGCAGUGGUUCUGUUGCAGCCUCCUGACCCAGCAUCAGUGGUGUAGGCGAUGAUGGACAUGCCCAGUGGUUAGAAGCAAUGUCAUCAGACCACUUCAGCAGCAUCUGCGACAUGUUCCUGGAUGCGGAGACUCCAAACCCAUGGAGAUGCUGAGCUAAUGCAUCCUGCUUAUUUUUUUUUUUUAGGGCCACCCUACGCAUAUGAAAGUUCCCAGGCUGGGGGUCAAAUCAGAGCUACAGCUGCCAGCCUACACCACAGCCACAGCAACGUGGGAUCUGAGCCUCCUCUGCAACCUACACCACAGCUCACAGCAACACCGGAUCCUUAAUCCACUGAGUGAGGCCAGGGAUUGAGUACCCAUCCUCAUGGAUCCUAGUGACGUGCGGUGGGCUGAGCCACAAUGGGAACUCCUCAAUCUAUUCCUAAAAAAUAUUUUUUCACCUUAGCCAGGGGUGAUUUCUGUUGCUUGCAAACAAGACCUCUGAUGGAUAUAAGAUUCUGUACAAAAAUCCUGCACUGGUACUCGGAAAUUAUAAUACUGCAUCUCUUGGGUUGGGUUUUAUGUGUUUUUGCCUUUAUAAAUUUUAACUUUGUGUUGCAAUCAAAAAUAUACAAAAGAAAAAUGCACAUUUCAUGACAGUACAGCUCAUUGAAUUUUCACAAACAUACCCAUGUAACCAUACUUCACAUCAAGAAACAGAUCAUCAUUACCAUGACUCCCCAAAGCCAUUCUUAUCAUCACCAUCAACCGAGGACAACCAGUAUCCUGACUUCUAACACCACAGGUUAGCACUGCCUGUUUCUGUAAAUACACAGAUGCAGUGCAUCGUCUUUCUCUGGUCUGUGCAUUACCUCUGUUUAUCUUUUAUUCAACGUUAUGCUCUGAAGAUCAUCUGUACUGUCUGCAGCUGUUGCUCAUCCAUUUUUAGGGCUGUAUAGUAUUCCAGUGGAUGAAUAUAUCACAUAUAUAUCACAUAUCAUUGUGAUUAUUCCAGUUGAUUUAUUCAUUCCAUUGCUGCCAAGCACUUGGGUGCUUUCUAAUUUGGGGCUAUUUCAAAAAGGCCUUCUGUGAGCAUUCUAGUACACAUCUUUUGGUGAAAUGUGAACAGACUUUUGUUGCAUAGCUAGCCAUGUUCAUAAUGCACAUAUACAUUCAACUUUAGUAGAUGCUGCUCAACAAUUUUCCCAAAUGGUCAUAUCCAUUAGAAUGAUUUUUAAUUUAAUUUCCAGAACAAUUGUUGCUCCAAAGAUAUAAGACGAUGGGGAAAAAUGAGAAAAGGAGAACCACGUAGGGAAAAAUUCAUAUGGGGACAUUUUCCCCUUCUUAAAUGAUUCCACAGCAGAUGUAUUAAGAAGCCCUGGUAUUCAGCACUUUGCCACUGGCUUGACCUGGGUUAAAUGAUUGCUGACAGGUCACCGUGAAAGUCAAGGGCACAGGUGGAACAAGACUUCUGAACUCUUGGCCUUUUGACCCAGCAGCAGAGACUCACACAUUCUUGCAGGCACCACUGGCCCCAGGAAACCAGCAGCCAAGUCUCCACAACAUCACCGCUUUGCCCAGUGUGAGAGGAGAAGGCUAGCAUUUGGACUGGGACCCCGGGCCCGAACACCUGCAGGGCCAGCAGGGACUUAAAUCUGGCCAAGAGGGCUGGGCAUGAUGGGGAUCCGGUCAGGACGGGUGGGGAUUCGAAUACACUGAGAACGAGCGCUCCGUCUUAAGGGGACAUCUAUUACUCAGCUCACAGAUUUUUGCUGCAUGGGAAAGAAGAGCCCACUGUUGCCAGAUUUUCUGACUCUUCAAGAGAAGCUGGAAAACUGGAUUUCUAAAUGAGAUACGGCAAUUGGCAAAAUAGGCAACUAAAUUGAAGAAACCCAUUAAAAAAUGAAAUCAUGCCAUUUGCAGCAACAUGAAGGGACCCAGAAGUUAUCAUACUAGGCAAAGUAAGUCAGAGAAAGACAAGCAUCAUACAUCACUUAUAUGUGCAAUCUAAAAUAUGACACGAAUGAACUUAUCUAUGAAACACAAACAGACUCCAGACAUAGAGAACAAAUUUAUGGUUACCAAGGUGAGGGGGAGGGAUGGGGGAGGGGCAAAUUAGGAAUUGGGGAUUAACAACAUACACUACUGUAUAUAAAAGAGAUAAACAACAAGGACCUACUGUAGAGCAUAGGGAACUAUAUUCAAGAUUGUAUAAUAAAUAUAAUGGAAAAGCAUCUGAAAAAGAAUAGAAACAUACAUAUAUCUGCAUAGCAAAAUGACUGUUAUACAUACACACUUUGCUACAUACAUGAAACAUUGUAAAUCAAUUAU
rnacentral:lncRNA from 1 species